UUGUAUUCACAAAUCAGUUGGAAUUUGUUAUUUUACUUCAAGGCUUUAAAAAAUGUUUCUCCUAAAAAUAGUUUACUUACUGCCAUCGCUAAUAGCGAUCGCUUUAAAUUGGCAAACAAUUUGUUUUAUGCCAUUGGAGAAAGCAAUGUUGACAUUCUUUCUAUUUCUAAUUAUGUCAUCGAUUUUGAUACUGCUGAUGGUGAAUCGUGGCAUAAAAUCUAGAUCGAAGAUAAUCAAGUUUCUUGAGGUAUUGAUCAAGCUCUUUUCUCUACAGCUCUUGGUGUGCUAUACUUGGGAUUAUACUGAGAAAUUUUCGCUGCGAAUUGUGGAUUGGAUUGAGAAUUAUUUAAAUGGUUUAUCUUGUGAGGUUAAUGAUCCUGAAAUCUCCAUUUGUUCGAUAGGAAAUUAAUUGGAUUUAUCACAAAAAACAAAAGAAAAAGAUUUGUCCGCAGUGUGCUGUAAAAAUGUAACAUUAAGAUAUAUUCUGUGGCAUUCAUGAUUGUUCUACAAAUGUCCGGAAUCAAUACUGGAUACACACUGGAAAAAUCCAAAAUCAAGAACAUUUGUCUUAAGAAACAUUCAACUUAAUAACUGAAUGCGCCAAAUAAAUAAUAA